GGACUCUUCUUGGUAUGAGUUUCUGAUGCUGAGCUUCCAGAUGUGGGUUUCAGACGCCAAGCUUCCUGGUGCGGGUUUCUUGACAGGGAUGGUCCAGAAAAGGAAUAGAUGGACCCCUGAGCUAUUUAUGUUGCAAGCUCGAAAUGAGGAUCAGUUGCCUCAAUUAAAGGACCCAAUGGAACAAGGAAAAACAGAAACAACCAGAAUACGGAAUCCACGGACCAGACCGUGAACCGGAAUGCGGACCUUACGGACCGUGACAGCUGCUUGUUCUCAAUCAGUAACAUGUGUGAAUCAGGCAGAACAGAUACAGACUCCAACAGUCAAAAACCUGCAUGUUCCAUCCAACCAAAGGAUAUCUCACAAAUAACUUCUUAUCUGGAAAUGACCUCUAGUCCAGCAGAUUACCUGAGGCAUCAUUAUAUUGACUUUAAAACACUGAUCAAGCCAAGUGACUAACUCACAAAAUGAAGAAUCUCUUCAUAAAAUGGUAGCCUCCAUCUCCUCCCUCCUGGCAAGAACAAAGGUAAUUGGUCUGUCUGCUUCCAGUGCCCUUAAUUCAUUUGAACUCACUGCUUUGCUGACUGUAGUUCUUUCUGGCCAACAAACCCAAUCAAAAGAUAAUAAUAAAGACCAAUACCCAAUGCGCAAGAGAAAGAGGGAAAGAACACAAACCAUGCAAACAAAAGAAGCGAGCAUCAACAUUCUGAAUUGGGUUGAGUCCUCAGAUCCAAACCCCACAGUAGGCCCAAAGCCUCAGUAUAUUAUCAGGCACAGAGCACAGCAGCCUGGGCAAUCUUCAUAGCCUCAGCACCAUGAUGAGAGGAGUGAACAUCGCAGAGAGUGAGUGAAAUUGGCUCUCAACUCUGAUCCCUAGAUGCCUGGCCAGUGUGCAAACUGUCCAGACAGCUUAAUGUACCUCGCAUUAGGACCUGGAAACCACUGCUGCGAAGGGCUCCGGGCCAAGACCAUGCCGCCCAACAGCUUGCUCCGGGCUCAGAUUUUGCCACUCUCAAACUCUUAAAAUCGGCUCGGCAGCCAGACUAUCCAACCUCGCACCCAGGCCAGUUGUACAGGCAUCAGAACUCCUCCGCCCAACUUCUCCUUUCUGAAUGGCGGCUCACUCCGUUUGUGUCAAUUCUGCAACACACCAGCACAGCUCAUCCCCGAACUUGUUUCGCUUUCACUUGCCACUUCAUUGCUAGUGGUGAUAAUUUACAACAAUUUACUACAGAAAAGGUGUUGUUAGUAAUGUUUUUAGUCAAAUUUCUUGCCUUUUGAACUACCAGUGGAAUGUCGCAUACGCUCAGUAGUGCCAUCUUAACCGGAAAGUUUGCAAACAAUAUGAAGAGAGGUGAAGGGGCAAAUAGUUUUGAGGAAGUAGAGAAGCUGCAGAAGGACUGAGACAGAUUAGGAGAAUGGGCAAGGAAGUGGCAGAUGGAAUACAGUGUUAAGAAGUGUAUGGUUGUGCACUUUGGUAGAAGAAGUAAAAGGGUAGACUAUUUUCUAAAUGGAGGAAAUACUUGGAACUCCUUGUACAGGAUUCCCUAAAGGAAAAUUUGCAGGUUGAGUCUGUGGUGAGAAAGGCAAAUGUGAUGUUAGCAUUCAUUUUAAGAGGAUUAGAAUAUAAAAGCAAGGAGGUAAUGAUGAAGCUUUAUAAAGCACUGGUGAGGCCUCACUUAGAGUAUUGUCAGCAGUUUGGGCCCCAUAUCUUAGAAAGGAUGUGCUGAAACUGGAGAGGGUUCAAAGGAGGUUCACAAAAUGAUUCCAGGAUUGAACGGCGUAUCAUAUGAAGAGCAUUUGAUGGCUCUGGGCCUGUAUUCACUGGAAUUCAGAAGAAUGAGGGGUGACCUAAGAAGGCAGAACGGAGUGGUGAUGACACUAAAUGGCGACUCCUUUGCUUGCAUGUUCAUAAACAGUUCCAUUUCCAUCUUUUUUCCCUUUCAGGGUUCUUUUGAAGACCCUGUCCUGGAGUUACACGCUGACUACAGUUCUUUGCGGGAAUGGGAUCCGCUGUCAGGGUUUCAUAAGCAGCCGUUGUUGUUCGGCACACUGAGGGCUCGGCCUAAGAGUCUGGCUCAAAUUUGGAAGCCUAGGAUCUUGGGGCUCUGGAGAUGGGCGGAUUGAGAGUCGGUGUCAUGACAGGACACCCAUGUGUCGUUGGGGGUUUCGAAAUAUCUGCGGUUGAGUGCCUAGUUUUUAGGGUACAGAGCUAAAAAAAAGCGACGUGGUGGACGUAAACCAUCGUAAACCAGCGAGUUGUUAUGUCUCCCUGCUCGCUGGGAAAAUGGAGACAUCUCUUUCUCCUUUAUUAAGGAGAGAGAGAACCUGUGGUAUGUUGAGUACGAGGUGAAACGCAAAGCCUUUGGGAUAACUGCAAGUCAGUGCCUUUGCUGUUGCCUUGUUCACGCUUGAGUGCUCAGUGGUGGGUGCCAUGCUUUUUCUUGCCGGUGGGGGUUGUUUGCUGCUGCUUACACAUGGGAGAGGGGAGUUGGGGGUUACUUUGGGGUUCUAACAUUUGACUGUCAUUCAUUCUUUAGGACACUCCUCUGUUUUCAUGAUGGUUUGCGAAGAAAAAGCAUUUCAGGAUGUAUAUUGUAUACAUUCCUCUGACAUUAAAUGUACCUUUGAAACCAUUGAAACUCAUCGAAACCUAUCUACCUACUGAUAGAAUUGGUGUGGAGAGGAUGUUUCCUACAGUGGGACAGUCUAGGACCAGAGGACACAGCCUCAGAAUAGAGGGGUGUCCUGUUAGAUUAGAGAUGAGAAAUUACUUCAGCCAGAGAAUGGUCAAUCUGUGGAAAUCAUUGCUACGGGCAGCUGUGGAGGCCAAGACUUUAUGUAUAUUUAAGGCAAAUGUUGAUAGAUUCUAGACUGGUCAGGGCAGGAAGGGAAAUGGGGAGAAGGCAGGAGAUUGGGGCUGAGAGGAAGAAUGGAGCGGUAGAGCAGACUCGAUGAGUCAAAUGGCCUAAUUCUGCUUCUAUAUCUUAUGAUCUCAUAACUAGGGAGAGGGCAGGACCACUCAGGAUAAAGAGGGGAACAUUUGUUUGGAUCCUGAGAAUGUGAGCAAAGUAAUCAGAGUACUUUGCUUCAGUACUUACCAAGGAAAAGGGUAUGGAGAACCAGAGCUGAGUGCAUAAAUACAUUAGGGCAUUUAGAGCUCAAGGAGGAGGAACUGUUGGGCCUCCUAAUGAGUAUAAAGUUGGAUAAGUCCCAAGGACCCAAUAGGAUUUACCCCAAUUUAUUGAAGGAGGCAGGAGACGAGAUUGCUGGCGCCUCAUGUCCUCUGUAGUGCGGGUAAGGUCCUGCAGGACUGACGAGUGGCUAAGACUGUACCUCUAUGUAAGAAGGGAAAAUCCUGUGAACUAUAGACCGGUGAGUCUCACGUCAGUUGCAGGACAUUUGCUUAAGAAUAUUCUUAGAGAUAGAAUAUAUGAGCAUUUGGAAACCCAUGGCCUAAUUAUGGAGAGUCAGCAUGCCUUUGUGAGGGGCAGGUCAUAUCUUACUAACUUCAUUGAGUUUUUUCUUAAGGUGACAAGAGAGAUUGAUGAAGGCAGGGCAAUGGACGUUGUCUACAUUACUUAGUUAGGCAUUUGACAAAGUGCCUCAUGGGUGACUAAUCCAGAAGAUGAAGAUGCAGUGAAUUAGCUCUUUAGAUUCAGAACUGGUUUGCAUGUAGAAGAUGGGAGAAGUUGAGGGGACUUAUUUGAGCUGGAGGUCUGUGAUUAGUGGAGUUCUACAUGGAUUCGACUAAUGUAGAUGGAUGCGUUAGUAAGUAAGCAGAUAAUACCAAGAUUGGUGGAGUUGUGGAUGGUGUAGAAUCCGGGCAUAGAAUAGAGCAUGACAGAUUUGUUGCAGAUAUGGGCAAAGAAAUGGCAGAUAGAGUUUAACCCAGAUAAAUGUGAGGUGAUCCACCUUGGUAGGGCAAAUGGAAGGAGACAGUACACAGUUAUGGUCAAGAUUCUUAACAGAGUUACUGAUCAGAGAGAUCCGUAGAUCCAAGUUCAACGCUCCUUAAGGUCGAUAAGGUGGUUAAGAAGGCUGAUGGAAUUAUUUUAUUAGUCGAGGCAUUUUAUUAGUGCUUAGGCCACAUCGGGAGUAUUGCAGACAGUUCUGGUUACAGCACUAUAGGAAGGACAUUGAGGUUUUGGAGGGGGUACAGAAGAGGUUUACCAGGAGGCUGUCUGGUUUAAAGGGCAUGUGCUAUUAUGAGAGGCUGGAUAAAUUUGUGUCAUUUUCUCUGGAGCUCAGGCUUAAUUAAGGGAGAUCUCAUAGAAGUCUAUAAGAUUAUGAGAGGCAAAGAUAGUGUAGACCGGGACUAUCUAUUUCCCAGGGCUGAAAUGUCUAAUACCAGAUGGCAUUGAAUGUGAGAGGGCAUAGGUUCAAAGAAGAUGUGAGGGGUAAGUUUUUUACUCACAGAGUGGUGGAUGUCUGGAAUGUGCUGCCUGGUGUGGUGGAAGAGACGAAUAUAUUACAGGCUUUUAAAAGACAUUUGGAUGCGCAUAUGAACGUAAGGAAGAUGGAGGGACAUGAACAUUGUGUAGGUAAGAGGAAUUAGUGUUUGGGUAUUUCUGAAUUGCUUUUUAGUUGGUUCAGCACAAUGCUGUGGGCCGAAUGGCCUGCUCCUAUGCUGUGCAGUUCUAUAUAAAACUUACUUCCCCGUAUUCUUCGAUCCAGCAAUUCCUCCUGCCUCACCGAACUAGAAAUGUAUUGCUCCAGAAAAUUAUCCUGUACACUCUGUGCUUAGUGAUAUUAAUCUUCUAGUUUAUAACACAGGCUUUUAUUUCUCCAAAGCAACCACUACAUAGUUUUCACAAAUAUCUGUAAUCUCUUUGAAUGCUGUUCCUUCUGUCCUACUCAUCCAUCCAUAGAAAUACAUGGCAUAAGUAGGCCUUUUGGCCCAUUGAGCUUGUGCUAUCCAUCAACCAAUCAUAUCAACUAAUUCUACUCUUGUUUUUUAUUCUCAGCACUCCAUCAUCAAUUCCCUCAGAUUUCUACCAUUCAGCUACACGUUAGGGUUAAUAUAACUUAACAACCUGCACACCUUGGGAUGUAGGAGGAAGCCGGUGGGGGGUGGGGGAACCAGAGACCUUGGUGCCUCACCUACUCUUGGGGUUCUUGCAGGUAGAGUGAUAAAAGACCAGUAGCCCAUUCCUAGAAUGAGAGGCUUGUUGAGAAGGAAGGGGGAAAGUUGGGCCUCCGGAGCUUAGAAAUACAGAUCGAAAGGUCUUUGGAAAGAUAAUGCUGGGAAGAGUUCAAUCAAUGGUGGAGUCUCUACCACAAAACCAAAAUGAAGAGUUUCUUCCCUCCUUCCUCUAAAGUUGUGAAUCUUGAGUUUUCUCUAUGCCAGUGAGCUUCAAAGACAGAGUCAUUCAGAACUCAGCUGUUUUCUUAGAUUACAGGGCAUUAAGAUAUAGCAAGUAAGUCAAGGAGAGUCUGAGAUUGUCAGUUGACAUCUUACUGUUCAAUCUCACAGGUCUGCCUCUCCAUCUCCUCUUGUUUUCUGAUCAAUAUUACCUCAAAAUAUCCUGCAGCCGCUGCACUCGAGGAGCUGAAAUAUGAUCUCACCACUUCUCAUGAGGAAGUGGCUUGAAUCUACUGAACAAGUAGUUCAUUCCCAUGGUAAUGCAGAACUGGAAGUUCACCGUGUGUUUCUUAAUACAAGUAUAGAACUAUAAGGAGAAAUAUACAAUUUCCAUCAGACCAGAUUGACUUGCUUCUGUACCUUCUGUACUUACACAAUUAAAGGCUUGAUAUGCUGUAACAGGUAGCUAGCCUCCUGACUCACCAAAAUAUCUCUGCACAGCCCAAGUCAGGAGUUUGAUGGAAUUCUUGCCUCUUUAAUCCCAACAAUAUUCAGCCUAUUUGUAGAUUGCUGGGAUUGUGCGUUAACAAGGAGUGAAGCUAAAGAUCAGCAGAUUCAGAUUCUGAGGGAUAUGGGUGGGUGGCUAAAUUGUUGAGAUGGAAAUCAUGAAAGUAUUGAAUGCUGAGGUAAACAUGGACCCAAUAUUUCCUCCUUCAGUUAUAGUCUUAUAAAAGGAACUAAAAAUGGAUCUAAUUGUUGGAUAUUCCUGGGAAGAAAGUGGGGAAAAAAGGAACGAUGGUGGAAUUUGUGAAUGAGAAGUGAUAGGUAUUAUGACUUAAUGGUUUCAUUCAGUUCCACAAUAUUGGGGCAGCACAGUAGCAUAGCAGUCAUCAUAAUACUUUACAGUGCCAGCUGUAAGUUCAAGAUUUGCUAUCUGUAAGGAGUUUCGUGCAUUCUCUCCACCGCACCACGGGUUUCCUUCAGUUUCCAUUUCAAGUUAAGAUUAGUAAAUUAUGAGCAUGCUAUGUUGGCACUGGAGAUAUGGCAACACUUGCAGCCUGCCUCCAGUCCAGUCUGAACACAAACAAUGCAUUUCACUGUAUUUCCAUUAAAGUGUGACGUUCACACCAUCAGGCUGGAGGUUAUCCAAACAGAUUGGGGUGUCGCUGCUGCGUCAUAGGAGGAGACCCUGGCCUGAUACAUUGGAAUGGGAAGUCAAAUUGAACAAACUCAAUGAGUGAGCCUCCACAACUCCAAACUCAAGAAUUCCAAAAGUUCACCACACAGUAGUUUUUUUUUUCCUAACUUUCUAAAUCCCCACAGUAGGAUCACCAGUGCAAGUGAAAUUUUUAUAGUUGGAUUUCUCCAUUAUUGCAGUUAUACAUUAUAAAGAUCAAUGUUGCCCUGAUAAAAUCUGUAGCCUAUCUAAUACAAAUCCCUCCACAAUCCAGAACUUUUGUAUGAACAGCGGGAUAUCAUAUCCUGUGAUGCAUGUGACAGCAUUGCGCAACAUCUCAGACAGGCUCAGAAGAGUGGUUCAGAAGUGAAGACACUGCUGGAGAAAGGUUGCAACUCCUUGUCUGGAACCCAACGUUCUCUGUGUGAAAACUUCGUUCAAUCUUACAAAAAAGAGCUUAGCAAAUUGCUUCAAAAGUCCCAGGAGGAAAAGGACAUUUGUCGGGAACUGGACCUCUGUGUAAGGAAACAGACUGAACGACUGCUUGGAGAGAAUGAAUGUACUUGGGGACCAGCACAGUGGUGUAAGGACCGAAAAACAGCUGACAAGUGUCAUGCUGUUGAUUACUGUAAGAAACACCGCUGGAAACAGGGCUAAUUUCAUAUCACUGGUGGAAGGCAACAGAAAUUGAAUACUUAAAAAAAUGCAAAGGCUCUUCCUUUAGUACCAGUUAAAUGAUGAUUCUGCUUGUGUGUUUGCAUGUUUCCUUUAAGCAAUUUUGUGUUGCUGUAGCUUGUGCAUUCAAUGCAAUCUCUUUUAUUGUGAGAUGUUACAGAGACGAGAUUAUUGGUAAUCCUUUACUUCCAUCGAAUCAACAUUGCCAGAUGCUAUAUACGCAGAGUUUCAAUGACAAAUAUUGAUUGGGGUUUUGAUUUCAUCAACUGUAAAAAUUCAGCAGACUAAAGUGCUUUAAAAUCAUGUUCUGUUUCUUAAAUAAGCUUUUAGAGUUGUGGUUCAUUCUCGUACCCUUCAAUAUCUGGCUGCUGAACCUGCCUCAAGUAGUCAGUCAUACAAGGCUCAACACUUCCCUGCUGUAGAAGGCA